AUGAACGCUGGCGGCGUGCCUAACACAUGCAAGUCGAACGGAGUCGUUUUGGAAAUCUCUUCGGAGAUGGAAUUCUCGACUUAGUGGCGGACGGGUGAGUAACGCGUGAGCAAUCUGCCUUUAAGAGGGGGAUAACAGUCGGAAACGGCUGCUAAUACCGCAUAAAGCAUUAAAUUCGCAUGUUUUUGAUGCCAAAGGAGCAAUCCGCUUUUAGAUGAGCUCGCGUCUGAUUAGCUAGUUGGCGGGGUAACGGCCCACCAAGGCGACGAUCAGUAGCCGGACUGAGAGGUUGAACGGCCACAUUGGGACUGAGACACGGCCCAGACUCCUACGGGAGGCAGCAGUGGGGAAUAUUGCGCAAGGGGGGAAACCCUGACGCAGCAACGCCGCGUGAUUGAAGAAGGCCUUCGGGUUGUAAAGAUCUUUAAUCAGGGACGAAACAAAUGACGGUACCUGAAGAAUAAGCUCCGGCUAACUACGUG
rnacentral:rRNA from 1 species